rnacentral:lncRNA from 1 species
GUCAGGUCCCAUGCGGAACGUGGGCGUGCGGGGACAGCGGGAGACCAAGGCAAGGGCGACGGCUUCCGGGAAGCAGAAUAUGCUGCCAUCACAUCCUGGACCAGGUCAACUUCUGUCUGGACCACCGGCAGGAGAACGACCCCCUCCACGCCUGCCUCCAGUAGCCGCUGAAGUCCAACCGGAAGAGGCGCCUUGAGUUCCAGCAGCAGCUCCGGGAGGUCCCGGCCAUGCCAGUCCC